rnacentral:pre_miRNA from 1 species
AGCCUUCUGUGUCCGUGCUGAGAUUUCGUCUAACACCAGACCACAAGGGCUGAUGGGACUCCCAAGAUAAGUGAAGCA